rnacentral:ncRNA from 1 species
AACAAAGAUAAAAACGCAACGUAUAUCCGCUGGAUAUUCCAGAGCCGGUAGGUAGCCCGGCCGUCCUGUCCCCAGACAGGGUAAGUAACCUGCCCCUCCGGGUUGUCCGUUCUUUGUUCAUAAA